AGCGUAGACGGAUGGACAAGUCUGAUGUGAAAGGCUGGGGCUCAACCCCGGGACUGCAUUGGAAACUGCCCGUCUUGAGUGCCGGAGAGGUAAGCGGAAUUCCUAGUGUAGCGGUGAAAUGCGUAGAUAUUAGGAGGAACACCAGUGGCGAAGGCGGCUUACUGGACGGUAACUGACGUUGAGGCUCGAAAGCUAGGGGAGCAAACA
rnacentral:rRNA from 1 species